ACUUUAGCAACUAAAAUGUAUACUAAAAUUGGAAUGAUGCAGAGAAGAUUACCAUGGUCCCUGUGCAAGAAUGAACAUAAAUUCAUAAGCAACUCCAUAUUUUU
rnacentral:snRNA from 1 species